rnacentral:rRNA from 1 species
UUGUUUCCCGUAAGGCGCCGAAUGAGUCAUUAAAAAAUUAACAUCAUCCGAUCCCUAGUCGGCAUAGUUUAUGGUUAAGACUACGACGGUAUCUGAUCGUCUUCGAUCCCCUAACUUUCGUUCUUGAUUAAUGAAAACAUCCUUGGCAAAUGCUUUCGCAGUAGUUAGUCUUCAAUAAAUCCAAGAAUUUCACCUCUGACAAUUGAAUACUAAUGCCCCCAACUAUCCCUAUUAAUCAUUACGUCAAUCCUAGAAACCAACAAAAUAGGAUCGAACGUCCUAUUUCAUUAUUCCAUGCUAAUGUAUUCAAGCGUUAGCUUGCUUUAAACACUCUAAUUUUUUCAAAGUAACAGUCCAAAUUCCCCGCAACACCAAAUUAAUGGCAUUACGGCUCAUCAGGAAGGAGGAAUCAGUGAGACCAGUACAUACCAGAGGCAUGACCAACCUACUAACCCCGAAAUUCAACUACGAGCUUUUUAACUGCAACAACUUUAAUAUACGCUAUUGGAGCUGGAAUUACCGCGGCUGCUGGCACCAGACUUGCCCUCCAAAA